UACGGGGGGAGCAAGCGUUGUUCGGAUUUACUGGGCGUAAAGGGCGCGUAGGCGGCGCAACAAGUCACUUGUGAAAUCUCCGGGCUUAACCCGGAGCGGCCAAGUGAUACUGUCGUGCUAGAGUGCGGAAGGGGCUACUGGAAUUCUCGGUGUAGCGGUGAAAUGCGUAGAUAUCGAGAGGAACACCCGUGGCGAAGGCGGCUCUCUGGGACGGUACUGACGCUGAGACGCGAAAGCGUGGGGAGCGAACAGG
rnacentral:rRNA from 1 species